GGGGGCGUACUGGAUUCGACCUGGGAAACCCGCCGGAGGCGGCAUGCCGAGGAUGAUCCGUUGGCCUCGUAAAUCAUCGGAUCGAAAAUCAACUGCCAACGAAGAAAUGGCACUCGCGGCUUAAUUAGCCGUGACGUUCACCGCUGGACGCCUGCUACGGCGGAUGAACGUGGCAGCAGGCAUGGGCGGGCGUGGAGACGGCGCGCGCCAGCCCGAGAAAUAUACAUGCUGUCUAUGCUGCGGGAUUCCUGCCGGAAGGUUAUCCUGCGGAUGAAACUCGCUUCCGGCUAAGCAUGUAGGCGCUGCCGGUGUGUUUGUCAGGGACGCGGGUUCAACUCCCGCCGCCUCCACCA
rnacentral:tmRNA from 1 species